rnacentral:rRNA from 1 species
ACGAACGGCUGGCGGCGUGCCUAAUACAUGCAAGUCGAGCGGGGAUUAUGCUUGAUCGCUUCGGUGAGACGGCAUAUAUCCUAGCGGCGGACGGGUGAGUAACGCGUGGGUAAUCUACCUCGUAGUUCGGGAUAACAGGCCGAAAGGCUUGCUAAUACCGGAUGAGUUCAUGCUUAUGCAUAUAGGCAUGAAGAAAGGGCUAGCCCGCUAUGAGAUGAGCCCGCGUCCCAUUAGCUUGUUGGUGGGGUAAUGGCCUACCAAGGCUUCGACGGGUAGCCGGCCUGAGAGGGUGACCGGCCACACUGGGACUGAGACACGGCCCAGACUCCUACGGGAGGCAGCAGUGGGGAAUAUUGGACAAUGGGCGGAAGCCUGAUCCAGCAACGCCGCGUGAGGGAUGACGGCCUUCGGGUUGUAAACCUCUUUCAGUACCGACGAAGCGCCGAUGAUGGUGGUGACGGUAGGUACAGAAGAAGCACCGGCCAACUACGUG